rnacentral:misc_RNA from 1 species
CUGGAACUUAAAUCUGUGAUAA